AUACGGAGGGUGCAAGCGUUAAUCGGAAUUACUGGGCGUAAAGCGUACGUAGGCGGUUCGUUAAGUUAGAUGUGAAAGCCCCGGGCUUAACCUGGGAACUGCAUUUAAAACUGGCGAACUAGAGUUGAGUAGAGGGGAGUGGAAUUUCAGGUGUAGCGGUGAAAUGCGUAGAGAUCUGAAGGAACACCAGUGGCGAAGGCGACUCCCUGGACUCGAACUGACGCUGAGGUACGAAAGCGUGGGUAGCAAACAGGAUUAGAUACCCCAGUAGUCC
rnacentral:rRNA from 1 species